UUGUUUUAUUUUAUAAUAGUGUUUUAUUUGAUAUAAUAGGAUGUGAAAGCCCUGAAAAGUUGUGGAACAUCAAAUUUUUGUAAUGGAAUAGAAUUUUAAAUGUGCUAACAGCUAAGUAAUGAAUCUUAUCUCAGUAGUAAAUGAAAUCUACUACAGAAUGAUUGAUCUACAUUCAGUAAAUUAUUCUACUCAUAAAGAGUCCUUUAACAUAGCAAACAAUCUAUCCUAAUAUAGCUGUUUUUAAGAUUUGGUGUUUCUGAAUAUUAGAGUUUCCUUAAGGAUCUCUACAUCAUAUAGUGAUCUGAAACAUGUGAAACCAUUUAUGUUGUAUGCAAAAAUUCGGAACACACUGUCUUCAGAAUCUGAAAUGGAACAUAAAAAUAAUAACAUACAUUUAUUGGAUACUUCACUGUGCAUCAGUUUCCAAGCUAAGCACUUGAUACAUGCCAUCUCAUUUAAUCCUCACAAGAAUCCUACAAGGAGCUGUUAUGGGAAGAAUCUGGGACCACAAUGUCCCCCCAAAUAAAGAGGGAGCCGAGAGACCAAAGAAUGACUCAGACAAGUCCAGGAAGCAAAAUGUGGUGAUUUUAAAGCUGUUAUAGUGGAAGUAUCAGGACAAGCCCAUUACACGGGUACAGCAAGCUUUAUAGUAGAAGAUGACGACCCACUGAGGGAUGGAUUUCUUCUC
rnacentral:sRNA from 1 species